UUAGGCCUACGGGAGGCAGCAGUAGGGAAUCUUCCACAAUGGGCGAAAGCCUGAUGGAGCAACGCCGCGUGGGUGAAGAAGGUCUUCGGAUCGUAAAACCCUGUUGUUAGAGAAGAAAGUGCGUGAGAGUAACUGUUCACGUUUCGACGGUAUCUAACCAGAAAGCCACGGCUAACUACGUGCCAGCAGCCGCGGUAAUACGUAGGUGGCAAGCGUUAUCCGGAUUUAUUGGGCGUAAUGGGAACGAUGGGGG
rnacentral:rRNA from 1 species